rnacentral:rRNA from 1 species
GUGGGGAAUCUUGCGCAAUGGGCGAAAGCCUGACGCAGCCAUGCCGCGUGAAUGAUGAAGGUCUUCGGAUCGUAAACUUCUAUCCUUGGUGAAGAUAAUGACGGUAGCCGAGAAGGAAGCCCCGGCUAACUACGUGUCAGCAGCCGCGGUAAUACGUAGGGGGCAAGCGUUGUCCGGAAUGAUUGGGCGUAAAGGGCGCGUAGGCGGCCUGGUAAGUCUGGAGUGAAAGUCCUGCUUUUAAGGUGGGAAUUGCUUUGGAUACUGUCGGGCUUGAGUGCAGGAGAGGUAAGUGGAAUUCCCGGUGUAGCGGUGAAAUGCGUAGAGAUCGGGAGGAACACCAGUGGCGAAGGCGACUUACUGGACUGUAACUGACGCUGAGGCGCGAAAGUGUGGGGAGCAAACAGGAUUAGAUACCCGGGUAGUCC